rnacentral:rRNA from 1 species
AGAGUUUGAUCCUGGCUCAGAUUGAACGCUAGCGGCAUGCUUUACACAUGCAAGUCGAACGGCAGCGCGGGGUAACCUGGCGGCGAGUGGCGAACGGGUGAGUAAUACAUCGGAACGUGCCCUGUGAUGUGGGAUAACUACGCGAAAGCGUAGCUAAUACCGCAUACGACCUACGGGUGAAAGUGGGGGAUCGCAAGACCUCACGUCAUAGGAGCGGCCGAUGGCGGAUUAGCUAGUUGGUGAGGUAAAGGCUUACCAAGGCAACGAUCCGUAGCUGGUCUGAGAGGACGACCAGCCACACUGGGACUGAGACACGGCCCAGACUCCUACGGGAGGCAGCAGUGGGGAAUCUUGGACAAUGGGGGAAACCCUGAUCCAGCAAUGCCGCGUGUGGGAUGAAGGCCUUCGGGUUGUAAACCACUUUUGGCGGGGGCGAAAUAUCGAGUGCUAAUACCAUUCGGUGAUGACGGUACCCGCAGAAUAAGCACCGGCUAACUACGUGCCAGCCGCCGCGGU